rnacentral:lncRNA from 1 species
UCUAGAUAAAGGUUCAUCUGAAAUUGCAGGUUCACCAACUAAUUUGACUGUAGUACCUUCCCAAUUAAAAGCCAUGAACAUUUCUUCAUAAUUGGACAUGAUAGUUCCUAAAGUUUUCAUCCACUGGAUUCCCAAUAUUACAUUUGAUCCAGCCAUUGACAGCAAGUAUAAAUCUACUGUUAUUAUUAUGCCCUGUACCAGAAUUUUAACAUCUUUGCACAUUGUAUUACAUCCCAACCUUUCACCACUUCCAGU